rnacentral:rRNA from 1 species
CCAACAGGGAUUGCCUUAGUAACGGCGAGUGAAGCGGCAAAAGCUCAAAUUUGAAAUCUGGCACCUUCGGUGUCCGAGUUGUAAUUUGAAGAAGGUAACUUUGGAGUUGGCUCUUGUCUAUGUUCCUUGGAACAGGACGUCACAGAGGGUGAGAAUCCCGUGCGAUGAGAUGCCCAAUUCUAUGUAAAGUGCUUUCGAAGAGUCGAGUUGUUUGGGAAUGCAGCUCUAAGUGGGUGGUAAAUUCCAUCUAAAGCUAAAUAUUGGCGAGAGACCGAUAGCGAACAAGUACAGUGAUGGAAAGAUGAAAAGAACUUUGAAAAGAGAGUGAAAAAGUACGUGAAAUUGUUGAAAGGGAAGGGCUUGAGAUCAGACUUGGUAUUUUGCGAUCCUUUCCUUCUUGGUUGGGUUCCUCGCAGCUUACUGGGCCAGCAUCGGUUUGGAUGGUAGGAUAAUGACUAAGGAAUGUGGCUCUACUUCGGUGGAGUGUUAUAGCCUUGGUUGAUACUGCCUGUCUAGACCGAGGACUGCGUCUUUGACUAGGAUGCUGG